rnacentral:miRNA from 1 species
GAUGUGCUCUCUUGGCCCAUGAAAUCAAGCGUGGGUGAGACCUGGUGCAGAACAAGAAGGCGACCCAUACUUGGUUUCAGAGGCUGCGAGAAUA